AAGUCCUACGGGACGCAGCAGUGGGGAAUAUUGCACAAUGGGGGAAACCCUGAUGCAGCAACGCCGCGUGAAGGAAGACGGUUUUCGGAUUGUAAACUUCUGUUCUUAGUGAAGAAGAAUGACGGUAGCUAAGGAGCAAGCCACGGCUAACUACGUGCCAGCAGCCGCGGUAAUACGUAGGGGGCAAGCGUUAUCCGGAUUUACUGGGUGUAAAGGGAGCGUAGACGGUUAAUCAAGUCAGAAGUGAAAACCCAGGGCUCAACCUUGGGACUGCUUUUGAAACUGAGUAGCUAGAGUGCAGGAGG
rnacentral:rRNA from 1 species